rnacentral:lncRNA from 10 species
GGGUUAGGCAGGCUGCAGUGGAGGAGGGUACGCCGUUCCAUUGGCGUGGUACUGUCGGCGGCCCUUCAGAGGAGAUGCUGCCCCACGGAACGCCUGGCAAGUGCUGGCGAAGCGGCAUGGGCGUCCCACUCCGUUCCUCAACCAAUUUCCUCACAAUCGCGAGCCGAAGUGUGGCGCUUUGGCAGUUUCGCAAGGUCUUUUGUCAGGAGAUGAGUUACUGAGGAUUGGGGGUCUUUGGAGCUCUUGGACCUGAAGAACGAUUAAGUUUUUCUCCCUUCAGAGAGCCAAGAAGCUUCCAGCCUUCAGAUUUGAACUGGGACACUGGCUCUGCAGAUUUUGGACUUGCCAGCCUUCAUAAUGAACCUACACUCCUGUCAUUUGUGGAAUGAUUGCUGGAGCCAGAGGCCAGGAAGAAGUUCAUGAGCCUGAGAGAAAAAGCAAGGAUUUCCAGUUCUACCCUGUAAGUCACUGAGCUCACUGAGCUUCAUUUUUCUUAUCCAUCAAAUGGGGAUAUUGAUUUUUUUUUUUUUUUUGAGACCAAGUUUCAUUCUUGUCACCCAGGCUGGAGUACAGUGGCGUGCUCUCGUCUCACUGCUACCUCUGGCUUCCGGGUUCGAGUGAUUCUCCUACCUCAGCCUCCUGAGUAACUGGGAUUACAAGUGUGUACCACCAUGCCCAGCUAAUUUUUUUUGUAUUUUUAGUAGAGACCGGGUUUUACCACGUUGGCCAGGCUGGUCUCAAACUCCUGACCUCAAGUGAUCUGCCCACCUCGGCCUCCCAAAGUGCUGGGAUUACAGGCAUGAGCCACUGCACACGGCUGGAUAUUGAUUUUUUUUUUUUUUUUUUUUUUGAGACAGGGUCCUGCUCUGUUGCCCAGGCUGGAGUGCAGUGGCACAAUCAUAACUCAUUGCAGCCUUGAACUCCUGGGCUCAAGCAAUCCUCCUGCCUCAGCCUCCCAAGUAGCUGGGACCACCAGUGUGCGCCACCACACCCAGCUAUUUAAAAACAUUGUUUUGUAGAGAUGGGGGUCUUGCUAUGUUGCCCAGGCUGGUCUCAAACUCCUGGCCUCAAGUAAUCCUCCCGCCUUGGCCUCCCAAAGUGCUGGAAUUACAAGUGUGAGCCACUGCACCCAGCCAGGAUAUUGUUAAAGAAUUCCAGAUGUGAGAAGUAAGGCCAAAGGCUGCCUGCAAGUUCUCUUGAUGUCACACCGGAGCACUAACAGGCCCACCUGUAGACUAUUCAGUUCUCUAAGGAAAUGUACCUUUGUUUGACUUACUGUUUACCCCUGUGUGAUUAGAGCACAGCUUCUGCAAAGUUAGAAAUUAACUUAUACAUUGAUAAAUUGCCAAUUAUUUUUGUUAUAGAGAUGCAAAGAUGCACCUGUAUGACAAAGGUGUGUUUCUUCUGGCAGGGAAAAAAAAAAUCCUAAACUAAACCCAGAGGUCACAGGAUUAUUGUCCUAUAGGAUAUUAACUAGUUCUGCAUCUAACUUAGCAAAGUUAUUUUAGCGUUUCUUUUCCCAGCUGACUGUAAAUCUCUGCCUUUCAAAUGCUCUUUGAAGGCAGCUUUACCAUUUUUCUGGCUCCCUCAUUAAGGAGUUAAAUAAAUCGUUGACACAUGUUC